AUUACAAGUAGUCGGGGCAUACUUAUUAGCAAUGUAAUGCUCUGUUCAAUUUGAAUAAUCGGAAUCAACAAAUCCAAAGCCAAGAAAAAAAUUUAGGAGAUAAAUUAAGGUCCUCAAGAUUCUCCAGUAAAUCGGGUGGAAUGUGUCUAAGCUGUUGUCGUAAUACGUGAAGUCUUGCUUGAGAAUGCUCCGAGCACUUGGCUAUGGAAGGAAGAAUAGAAAUUGUAAUAACAAAAUUCUAAUUCUAAUAGAAUACCAACAAUGCUCUAAUUAAACCAUAAUAAUGCUAAGCAAGCUUAAUCAAAUUCAAAAAAAAUCUCAAAGAAAUUUCAAAAAAACAAUAAGAAUUCUUAAAGAAAUAAUAGAAGAACAUAAAUGUCACUCAAAUAUAUCUCAAUUCAAUCUUAAUUUAAUUCUAGUUAAAAUCCUAUUGAACUUCAUUAAAACUUUAGGCCAAAACUAAUUGAAUCUUAAAUCUUAAUAAAAUCCUAAAACCUAAAUGAAACCCUAAAUAAACCUUAAACCAAAUCCCAACCAAAUCCUAAACCAAAUCCUAACCAAAUCCUAAACCAAAUCCUAAAUCCUAAAUAAAAUCCUAACUAAAUCCUAAAUCAAAUCCUAAUGAAAAUCCUAAAUCCUAAACCAAAUCCUAAAAAAAUCCUAAAUCCUAAAUAAACCCUAACCAAAUCCUAAUCCAAACUCUAAAUCCUAAAUCAAAUCCUAACCAAAUUCUAAACCCUAAAUCAAAUCCUAAACCAAACUCUAAUCCAAAUCCUAAAUCCUAAACCAAAUCCUAAUCCAAAUCCUAAAUCCUAAAUCCUAAAUCAAACCCUUAUCCAAAUCCUAAUCAAACCUUAAACCAAAUCCUAAACCAAAUUCUAACCGAACCCUAGUAAUUCCUACAACAGAUUUAAACCUCAAUAACUAAUUAAUAAACCGUUGAUCUUAACUCAAAUUUUGCACACUUCUUAAAAACUAAGUUCAAAACAAGCAUUAAAAAAUUGAAAAGGAUCGGAGUUACCAAAUUGACGAUAACCUCAAAAAUGUACUCGGGUAUUGGCCAGCCUCCUUCUCCAAUCUUAAUGCUAAUCUUCCAGAGCCAAUAUCUCCCUUUUACACCGUUUGAUUCAUCUCAAAAUUCUCAUACACAUAGAAAAACAAGUCUUAUAUCCUUUCACACAAAUUUCACUCCAAUCCAACUAAAAAAUUGCAUGAAAUCUUAAAAAACCCUUCUAGACCUAAAAUUCUACUUUUUGAGACCUUAAUCCACUUAAACCUCAAUAUUCCUCAAUUCAACCGUUAGAUCGAGCUCAAAUUCAAAAUACAUAUUAAACACAACUAUAGCCAUAAACACACAAAAUUUCACUUAUAGAUCUAUUACAAAACUCUUGAAAUCAUCCAAAACAUAAACCUUGUUUUAUUUCAUAAAACCUAAGUCAUCGGAAACAAACCUUGACUUUGCAAAGCUCUUACAAAGUCAUACCAACUCCAAAUCAUCCAAAAUCAACGCCCAUAAAAACUUU
rnacentral:lncRNA from 1 species